rnacentral:rRNA from 1 species
AUGGACCACACGGAGGCUCUGCCGGACGACGUGCUCGCAGCCAUCCUCAGCCGCCCCACGCGGCGGGACCUGGCGGCUUGCCGCCGCGUGCGUAGGGUGUGGCUCGCCAUCGUGGACGGGCAGCGGCUGCUGCCGCGCAACCACCACCUGCCGGACUCGGUCGAGGGGAUCUUCACCAACUACUGCAGCUACGACCGCCCGCACUUCCUCGGCCGCCCCUCCACGCGGCACCCCGGCGUUGACUACGGCAAUCUGCACUUCCUGCCCGGCUACGCGGAGGACAACAACAAGAUCCUGGACCACUGCAACGGCCUCCUCCUCUAUGGCGACGGCUACAACCUCUCCAACUGUGGCGGCAUGAGGGUGUUUUGCGUGGUUAACCCCGCCACACGACGGUGGGAGCGCCUCCUGGGGACGCCUGACGAAGAAAGCUCCACCGCGUACCUGACGUUUGAUCCUACAGUGUCGCCGCACUACACAGUGUUCUUGAUACAACCUAAGGAUCUAGGACUGUUCAACGUGAGGGACUGCGAGUCGGCAGAAGUAUUGCCAGAACAGCUCAUCGAGGAAAACUUCACGAUAAGUUGGUCUUCACGGAGCACGAGCAUGGACAUGGAGGCGCCACCACACUCGACCGAAUGGCCGCCGCCUGAGUUGGUGCUAGAUGUUUUCUCAUCGAGCACGGGACAAUGGCAGAGGAGGUCCUUUGCUAGGGAAGGUGGUGCUAUGACGAGAGCUGUAAAUUUGCGGGGUAGAGUGUGGUUCAUGUACAUGUUUCUGGUGUCAACAUGCAGAUGGCGCUACGGCGUGUACUGUCAUGGAGCAUUACAUGUGCUACUUUACGGCGGUGCAUUUGUCACCAGGUUCUCAUUGCCUAGUGGCAAAUAUAAAGUAAUAAGAACUCCAAUAGAUGCCAAUGAAGGCAAAGUUAGGAGGCAUUAUCUCGGAAGAUUGGAGGAGGAUGUGUACUUUGCAAAGAUCCAUGAUCAAAUCCGGAUUUGGACCCUGAGUGAAUCAAGCGGUCAGGUAGACUGGGUGUUCAAGAAUAGCAUUGACCUUGCAAAUAUAUCUUCACUCAGCCCGAAAGGAAUUUGCAAGCCUUGGAUCUUAGAUAACAAUCAUGUUCUCGACAAAUAUGGAAAUAACAAAAGCCUAGCGGGGCAAUGUUUUGAUUGGAGCUGGGACGAUGAUAAUAUUCUUAACACAAAUGAGCGUGGACAUCUUCGUGGAAACUUUCUAAUUGGAUUUCAUCCCUGUAAAGAGACAGCCUUCUUCUUGGUGGGGUAUUAUGAUGUAGUGGCUUACCAUUUGAACACCUCAAAAGUUCAGUACAUAGGUUAUCUCCGUCCAAACUCUGACUGCCCAACAUUGGGAAUAGACGAGUCAUUUCUAUACACACCUUGCAUGAUCGGAGAUAUUCCACUAAGUGCCUACUCCAAUAAAAAUGAAGAGGAAGCAGAUGAUGAAUAUGAAUACGAAUAUGAAGAUGAUGAUGAAGAUUAA